UACGUAGGGGGCAAGCGUUGUCCGGAAUCAUUGGGCGUAAAGGGUGCGUAGGCGGCGCGGUAAGUCGGGUGUGAAAUCUCGGGGCUUAACUCCGAAACUGCAUUCGAUACUGCCGUGCUUGAGGACUGGAGAGGAGACUGGAAUUCAUGGUGUAGCAGUGAAAUGCGUAGAGAUCAUGAGGAAGACCAGUGGCGAAGGCGGGUCUCUGGACAGUUCCUGACACUGAGACACGAAGGCCAGGGGAGCAAACGGG
rnacentral:rRNA from 1 species